GUAGCAUAAUCACUUGUCUCUUAAUUGGGGGCUGGAAUGAAAGAGGCGACGAAAUUUAGACUGUUUAGGUUUAAAUCAAAAUUAACAUAAAGGUCAAAAGGCCUUUAUACACCAAAGGGACGAUAAGACCCUAUAAAACUUUACUAUAUAAUAGGCUACACUUAGGAGGUAUUCAAGAUACAGUUUAGCUGGGGCGGUUUAUAUAAAAACAAUUUAAAUAAAAAUAUUUUAAAUAGACUCGGAGAGCUCUAAUAGGAAAUGAACAAGUUACUUUAGGGAUAACAGCAUAAUUCUCCCAGAGAGUCCUAAUUGGCGGGAGAGCUUAUGACCUCGAUGUUGAAUUGGGGUAUCUGGUGUAAGUAGAAAUAUAUUAAGAUAGUCUGUUCGACUAUUAAAUUCCC
rnacentral:rRNA from 1 species